UACGAAGGGGGCUAGCGUUGUUCGGAAUCACUGGGCGUAAAGCGCACGUAGGCGGAUUGUUAAGUCGGGGGUGAAAUCCUGAGGCUCAACCUCAGAACUGCCUUCGAUACUGGCUAUCUGGAGUCCGGAAGAGGUGAGUGGAAUUCCGAGUGUAGAGGUGAAAUUCGUAGAUAUUCGGAGGAACACCAGUGGCGAAGGCGGCUCACUGGUCCGGUACUGACGCUGAGGUGCGAAAGCGUGGGGAGCAAACAGG
rnacentral:rRNA from 1 species